rnacentral:tRNA from 1 species
GAGAAUCUAGUUAAUUUAUAAUAUAGACUUGUCAAGUCUAAGUUACCUUGUAGGUGAUUCUCU